UGGGGAAUUUUUGUCAAUGGGGGAAACCCUGAACAAGCAACGCCGCGUGGAGGACGAAGGCCUUCGGGUUGUAAACUCCUGUCGGAGGGGACGAAGGCGAUCGAGAUCAAUACCCUCGGUCGUUGACGGUACCCUACGAGGAAGCCCCGGCUAACUCCGUGCCAGCAGCCGCGGUAAUACGGGGGGGGCUAGCGUUGUUCGGAAUUACUGGGCGUAAAGGGCGCGUAGGCGGGCGGGCAAGUCUCUCGUGAAAGCCCACGGCUCAACCGUGGAAUGGCGGGAGAAACUGCUCGUCUUGAGUCCGGGAGAGGAGAGUGGAAUUCCCAGUGUAGCGGUGAAAUGCGUAGAUAUUGGGAGGAACACCGGUGGCGAAGGCGGCUCUCUGGACCGGUACUGACGCUGAGGCGCGAAAGCUAGGGGAGCAA
rnacentral:rRNA from 1 species